rnacentral:rRNA from 1 species
CCUACGGGAGGCAGCAGUGAGGAAUAUUGGUCAAUGGACGAGAGUCUGAACCAGCCAAGUAGCGUGAAGGAUGACUGCCCUAUGGGUUGUAAACUUCUUUUAUAUGGGAAUAAAACGUUCCAAGUGUGGGAUUUUGUAUGUACCAUAUGAAUAAGGAUCGGCUAACUCCGUGCCAGCAGCCGCGGUAAUACGGAGGAUCCGAGCGUUAUCCGGAUUUAUUGGGUUUAAAGGGAGCGUAGGUGGAUUGUUAAGUCAGUUGUGAAAGUUUGCGGCUCAACCGUAAAAUUGCAGUUGAAACUGGCAGUCUUGAGUACAGUAGAGGUGUGCGGAAUUCGUGGUGUAGCGGUGAAAUGCUUAGAUAUCACGAAGAACUCCGAUUGCGAAGGCAGUUCACUGGACUGCAACUGACACUGAGGCUCGAAAGUGUGGGUAUCAAACAGGAUUAGAUACCCUAGUAGUC